UGGGUAUUAACCAUCAUCCUUUCCUCACAACUUAAAGUGCUUUACAACCCUAGAGCCUUCUUCACACACGCGGCAUGGCUGCAUCAGGGUUUCCCCCAUUGUGCAAUAUUCCCCACUGCUGCCUCCCGUAGGAGUCUGGACCGUGUCUCAGUUCCAGUGUGGCUGAUCAUCCUCUCAGACCAGCUAAAGAUCGUCGCCUUGGUAGGCCUUUACCCCACCAACUAGCUAAUCUUACGCGGGCUCAUCCAAUAGCGAGAGCCGAAGCCCCCUUUCUCCCGUAGGACGUAUGCGGUAUUAGCAGUCGUUUCCAACUGUUGUCCCCCACUACUGGGCAGAUUCCCACGCGUUACUCACCCGUCCGCCGCUUUAAUCAAUCCCGAAGGAUCUUUCUCGCUCGACUUGCAUGUGUUAAGCCUGCCGCCAGCGUUCAAUCUGAGCCAUGAUCAAACUCU
rnacentral:rRNA from 1 species